UGUGUGUCUAUAAGGUAUCACUCUAUCCUGCCUUCUGCCUGACUUCUAACAUGGCUAACUACUACUCUUUAUCUAUGCAACAUUUGGAAUAAGCAACUUGCUCAGUGUUACCAAGGAAAACCAUCACAGAAAGGAUUAGAAGCAAUUCCCUGGGCCAGCAUUCACUGUGAGGCUUCUGCCUUCAGUCCUCUGCGCAUUAACCAACUGCUGUUUCAUCGCUGGAAAUGGGGGUCCUUCACAUCACAGGCUGGGUUUUGCCCCAGGACACAAGCCAUUUUGAGCACCGAAUGAGGCACCGUUUCCAUGAAAAACAGGAUGUAAUCAUGUCUUCAGUUUGGAAAAGUUUGAAGACACUGAUUCUAACGGAACAAACAAAUGAAUCUAAGGAAUCACUGCUAGUAAUUCAAUGGAUUCACAAUUAUUGGCCUAACAAUUAUUGGCCAGCAGGGUGUAAGUAAAAUCAGGCCUACUCUGUGUAUAGUCAAAAACUCUGAAUUACCUUUGUUGCUGUUAAUGGGUUGGAUGCUGCUCCAAGCAGAGGUGAGUAAAGAGUGGAUGGUAAUGCAGCUUGAAGCUCUGAACUGAAUUAAACUUGUUGGUAAAGGAUGCCCAAUUCCUGGAAUGACAAUGAGCUGUGCAGUAACUGGAAAAGCCAGGAAUAAUACAAAAUUCAUAGAAAAUGCCAAAGCACUUGGGUGGAGAAAAUAGCUGCUUCUAUUUCAUGCUGCUAGAUGGAGGUUUUGACAGGUAGGAGAAAGGUAGAGUCAGUUCAUUGCCCAAGCAUGCAGGACACUGCACCCAACUGGAUGGCACAUCUCUGCUUGGAUAAAAUAACUUUUGCAUACUGCAUCUGAUCUGUUGCCAUAUUUCAGGGAAUGUUCUGUGCAUCAAUGGGCCGAACACUGAAGAUUCUGGUGAGCAGCAGCAAAGGAAGUCUGCAUGUAUAGAGGAGGAACACAGACUCUAGCAACAGCUUAGCAGAGCUACCUAUGUACUUGUUGGCCAAUGGUAGCUGUUGCAUCCUAAUUAUAGGCUUAGCUUAGUUCAACCUAGCUUUUCAUUAUAAACUAAAGAUAUUGAUGUCCUGAAAGAAAAGAAGUAAUAAUGGAGAAUAUACCUGCACUAGGGGAGUUUCACCUGUGCAGACAUAUGGAUAUGCUGCACUGGAAAAGGCCCUG